CAUUUAUGCUUCAUUGAAUUCAGCCAGUAGUUAGGUCUGCCUCUGGCAGUGAACAGAAGAAAGCAGCCAAGGGUUCACUCCCCGAGCCAGCACGCAAGGGUGUCCGUGCAGCUGGACUUUCAGGUGUGUCACGCUGGGGCUGAGGCCUCCGGAGGGACUCCUAGAAGGGAGGCGUGCGUGUAAAGCGCCAUCCUCAGCAGCCCACGACCUCGGACGGUUUGCCACUGUGGCCAGUGUUUUAUUGAUGCUUCUGAGGCCAUAGAGCACGCACGGGGAAGUUCUGAGCACACGGAGGACAAGCCAGGGCGGUGCUGUGUGGCCGCAGUCAACCCUAAGUAGGGUCCGAGUGGGGGACGGUCGCUAACACCUCGAUUCCUCAUGUCUGUGUUUCUGCAGCUUGGAGCUUGGAGAGUGUGUGUGAGAGCGACCUCGCUGACAGCAACCUCGCAGAAAGUGAUCGAGACUCGGUGGCGGAGCGCACCGACUGCCGCCAGGAUGAGGAGGCUGCAGGAACUCACGACGACGAUGUUGUGGAGGCCGGUGGGAGUGAGAAGACUGAGGCAAAGCCCCGGGCUGGGGGACAUGAGGACGAGGCGGCCCCAGUACCUGAGGUGGAGGUGGAGGAGGAGGCGGGCCAGCCCCGUGAAAAUGGCCAGGAGGAGUCCUUAGCCAUCGCCUGGGCUGAGCCGGAAGACGAGCCUGGCCCCAAGGUGGACGGGGCGGACGAUGAAAUCUCUUGGAGCUUGGAGAGUGUGUGUGAGAGCGACCUCGCUGACAGCAACCUCGCAGAAAGUGAUCGAGACUCGGUGGCGGAGCGCACCGACUGCCGCCAGGAUGAGGAGGCUGCAGGAACUCACGACGACGAUGUUGUGGAGGCCGGUGGGAGUGAGAAGACUGAGGCAAAGCCCCGGGCUGGGGGACAUGAGGACGAGGCGGCCCCAGUACCUGAGGUGGAGGUGGAGGAGGAGGCGGGCCAGCCCCGUGAAAAUGGCCAGGAGGAGUCCUUAGCCAUCGCCUGGGCUGAGCCGGAAGACGAGCCUGGCCCCAAGGUGGACGGGGCGGACGAUGAAAUCUCUUGGAGCUUGGAGAGUGUGUGUGAGAGCGACCUCGCUGACAGCAACCUCGCAGAAAGUGAUCGAGACUCGGUGGCGGAGCGCACCGACUGCCGCCAGGAUGAGGAGGCUGCAGGAACUCACGACGACGAUGUUGUGGAGGCCGGUGGGAGUGAGAAGACUGAGGCAAAGCCCCGGGCUGGGGGACAUGAGGACGAGGCGGCCCCAGUACCUGAGGUGGAGGUGGAGGAGGAGGCGGGCCAGCCCCGUGAAAAUGGCCAGGAGGAGUCCUUAGCCAUCGCCUGGGCUGAGCCGGAAGACGAGCCUGGCCCCAAGGUGGACGGGGCGGACGAUGAAAUCUGUGAGUAUUCUGGAGCCCGGCUCUGCUGAGGAGAAGUCCAGGUGUUGAGGAAAUGGGGGGGGGCCCGCGAGGGAGGCGGGGUGGGGGGGCUCUCCUGCUCCUUUGGUUGCAGAGACACCCUGAUUCUGGGUUCCUCCUGGGAAUGAGGGUGAAGGAUGGGGUGAAAGAGACGGACUUCCCAAGAAGGGCCACCCCAGGUUCUAGGGUCCCUGGACGAAAGGAGGCUCUUUGUAUGGCGUGGGUAGGUGUCGGGGGACACGGCCGGGGGGGUGGGAGGGUGGUGCGUGUGAGGGCCUGCUGGUGUGAUUGGCAAUCAGUGUGAGUGGGUGUGUGCUGUGGGGAGCUGUUUGUGGCUUAGCACCACACAGCUGUCCAGCUUCUAAUUGAGGAGUCUCACGAUGACCGCAGGCUAACCGUCCAUUCCCUCGUUCUGCCCGCACCGGCUGGGAGCAAGGGUUUGGGGAAAGGCAUUGCUUCCUCUGUUGGUCUUUCUUUUCCUUUUCGCUUCCCUCUCUGCCUUGUGUGGACUUUGAUACCGUUGUUUCAAACACGUGCCAGGGACUCGAGCCCCUUCAGGCUGUGAGUGUCCCGAGGAGUGUUGUGAACGCUGUGCUCCACCCGCACCUCCUGCCCACUCUGGGCAGCCACCCUUCCAGCCUCUGCUCAGGAGUGGUGUGUCAGACACUUGAUGCGCAUGACAUCAGAGAGUCUUUGUCCUUCUGUGCCUGACUUGCUUCGCUUGAAAUGCUGUCCUCCAGCGAGUUCCUGUCGAGGCUCAGUGGUCAUGAACCCGAGUGGUAUCUCUGAGGAAGCGGAUUCGACCCUUGGCCUUGCUCAGUGGCGGCAGAGGUCCCAGACGCGGCUGGUAUCCAGCUUUGCUGCGGCUGGGGUGUGGGCCGGUGGCUACAGCUCUGAUUUGCCGCCUCGCCUGGGAAUUUCCAUAUGCCGCGGGGCCGCUCUCAAACCCCGAAAGAAUUGAUCAGUAAUGUCCUCCAGUUCUCUGUGCAUUGCUGCAGUGGGUAGGGUUUC
rnacentral:lncRNA from 1 species